UAACGGCCCACCAAAGCGAAGAUCGGUAGCCGGCCUGAGAGGGCGCACGGCCACACUGGAACUGAAACACUAUAACAUCCUACGGGAGGCAGCAGUGGGGAAUUUUGCGCAAUGGGGGAAAUCCUGACGCAGCAACGCCGCGUGGAGGAUGAAGCCCCUUGGGGCGUAAACUCCUUUCGACCAAGACGAUAAUGACGGUACUGGUGGAAGAAGCACCGGCUAACUCUGUGCCAGCAGCCGCGGUAAUACAGAGGGUGCGAGCGUUGUUCGGAAUUAUUGGGCGUAAAGGGCGCGUAGGCGGUGCCACAAGUCACCUGUGAAAUCUCUGAGCUUAACUCAGAGCCUGCAGGCGAAACUGUGGUGCUGGAGUAUGGGAGAGGUGCGUGGAAUUCCCGGUGUAGCGGUGAAAUG
rnacentral:rRNA from 1 species